ACCACAACCGUUAAAUAUCGACAGUGUCAUUUACACUAAUCGACCAACAGGGAAAACCUCCCAUUAUGACUCGACUGGACUGACCAUGCUCUGAUACCACUAAUGUAACACCCUUCUACCGAACGACAUAUUUAAAUAUAUUAUCAGAGUACAACAUGUAGAAGAGUUUACAUUUCUUUCCACAUAACAAUUAUCGCAUCACAACGUAAAAUAUAUUAUUUAAAACUUAAAACUUCGCAGCGGACAAUAGCACAAUAUCAUCAUUCAUCACAUAACAAUUCAUAAAAUAUUUCAUCAUUUAUCUCAACAAAGCAUCUCAACAUAUUAGUCAUCAUAAACAACGUAAAUAAUAACCAAUUAUCUAUCGAAUCCCAUAACCC
rnacentral:lncRNA from 1 species